rnacentral:rRNA from 1 species
GUUUGAUCCUGGCUCAGGACGAACGCUGGCGGCAUGCCUCAUACAUGCAAGUCGAGCGAUCUAACUUCGGUUAGGUAGCGGCGGACGGGUGAGUAACGCGUGGGCAACCUGCCCUAAAGUAGGGGAUAACAUCUCGAAAGAGAUGCUAAUACCAUAUAAGAUCCUCUCUUCGCAUGGAGAGAGGAAGAAAGGCGUAAGCCGCUUUAGGAUGGGCCCGCGUCCCAUUAGCUAGUUGGUAGGGUAACGGCCUACCAAGGCCGCGAUGGGUAGCCGGCCUGAGAGGGCGACCGGCCACACUGGGACUGAGACACGGCCCAGACUCCUACGGGAGGCAGCAGUCGGGAAUAUUGGGCAAUGGGGGAAACCCUGACCCAAGCAAUGGCCGGCGUGAGUGGAACGAAGGUUCUUCGGAUUGUAAAGCUUCUGUCCUUGGGGAAGAAGAAUGACGGUACCCAAGAAGAAAGCCACGGCUAACUACGUGCCCAGCAGCCGCGGUAAUACGUAGGUGGCAAGCGUUGUCCGGGAAUUAUUGGGCGUAAAGGGCGAGCAGGCGGCCAGUUAUGUCAGAUGUGAAAGGCUAGGGCUUAACCCUAACAUGGCAUUUGAAACUGAUUGGCUUGAGUGUAGGAGAGGGAAGCGGAAUUCCUAGUGUAGCGGUGAAAUGCGUAGAUACUAGGAGGAACACCAGUGGCGAAGGCGGCUUCCUGGCCUACAACUGACGCUGAUGCGCGAAAGCGUGGGGAGCAAACAGGAUUAGAUACCCUGGUAGUCCACGCCGUAAACGAUGGGUGCUAGGUGUGGGAGGUAUCGACCCCUUCCGUGCCAUAGUUAACGCAAUAAGCACCCCGCCUGGGGAGUACGGUCGCAAGACUGAAACUCAAAGGAAUUGACGGGGGCCCGCACAAGCAGCGGAGCGUGUGGUUUAAUUCGACGCAACGCGAAGAACCUUACCAAGGCUUGACAUCCCUCGCUAUUUGUAGAGAUACAGAGUUCCCUUCGGGGACGAGGAGACAGGUGGUGCACGGUUGUCGUCAGCUCGUGUCGUGAGAUGUUGGGGUUAAGCCCCCGCAACGAGCGCAACCUUGUACUUAGUUGCCAUUCAUUAAGUUGGGCAACUCUAAGUAGACUGCCGGUGACAAACCGGAGGAAGGUGGGGAUGACGUCAAAUCAUCAUGCCCCUUAUGUCUUGGGCUACACACGCGCUACAAUGGUCUGUACAGAGGGCAGCGACACCGCGAGGUGAAGCGAAUCCCAUAAAACAGAUCUCAGUUCGGAUUGCAGGCUGCAACUCGCCUGCAUGAAGUCGGAGUUGCUAGUAAUCGCGGAUCAGAACGCCGCGGUGAAUGCGUUCCCGGGCCUUGUACACACCGCCCGUCACACCACGAAAGUUGGUA